rnacentral:rRNA from 1 species
AUUGAACGCUGGCGGCAGGCCUAACACAUGCAAGUCGAGCGAGCGGCGGACGGGGGAGUAAUGUAUGGGGAAAGCGCGAGAGAGGGGGAUAAAAACUGGAAACAGUAGCUAAUACCGCACACGACCGGAGAACCCAUAUGGGAUUAGCUAGAAGGGGAGGUAAUGGCUCACCUAGGCGCCGAUCCCUAUCUGGUCUGAGAGGAUGAUCAGCCACACUGGGACUGAGACACGGCCCAGACUCCUACGGAGGCAGCAGGGGGGAAUAUUGCACAAUGGGCGCAAGCCUGAUGCAGCCAUGCCGCGUGUAUGAAGAAGGCCCUAGGGUUGUAAAGUACUUUCAGUCGGGAGGCGUUACCGACAGAAGAAGCACCGGCUAACUCCGUGCCAGCAGCCGCGGUAAUAC